GGGAUGGAACCGGGGAGGAUCCGCGAUGGCCCCGCCGCAACUUCUCCCCAAGUUCCCGUCCGUGGUUCGUGUCUGUGACUCCUGUCCGUGACUCGUGUCUGACUCAGGUCUCGGAUCGCUCGGAUCCCGCGAUCCAUCACGGAUUUACGGCCGGGAUCGAUGUUUGUGCGACAAAUCCUGGGGGGGACAAGGGGGGGGACAGUGGGGACAGAGUGACAGCGACACCGCCAC